rnacentral:rRNA from 1 species
GAUGGACGCUAGCGGGAGGCUUAACACAUGCAAGCCGAGGGGUAUAGUUCUUUCGGGCCCUAGAGACCGGCGCACGGGUGCGUAACGCGUAUGCAACUUGCCCUACUGAAAAGGAUAGCCCUUCGAAAGGAGGAUUAAUACUUUAUAACAGAUUUAAUGGCAUCAUUAGAUUUUGAAAGAUUUAUCGCAGUAGGAUAGGCAUGCGUAAGAUUAGUUAGUUGGUGAGGUAACGGCUCACCAAGACGAUGAUCUUUAGGGGGCCUGAGAGGGUGAACCCCCACACUGGUACUGAGACACGGACCAGACUCCUACGGGAGGCAGCAGUGAGGAAUAUUGGACAAUGGGUGGAAGCCUGAUCCAGCCAUCCCGCGUGUAGGAUGACGGCCUUAUGGGUUGUAAACUACUUUUAUCUGGGGAUAAACCUACUUACGUGUAAGUAGCUGAAGGUACCAGAAGAAUAAGCACCGGCUAACUCCGUG